UACGAAGGGGGCUAGCGUUGGUCGGACUUACUGGGCGUAAAGCGCACGUAGGCGGAUUUGUAAGUCAGGGGUGAAAUCCCGGGGCUCAACCUCGGAACUGCCUUUGAUACUGCAAGUCUCGAGUCCGGAAGAGGUGGGUGGAAUUCCUAGUGUAGAGGUGAAAUUCGUAGAUAUUAGGAAGAACGCCAGUGGCGAAGGCGGCCCACUGGUCCGGUACUGACGCUGAGGUGCGAAAGCGUGGGGAGCAAACAGG
rnacentral:rRNA from 1 species